rnacentral:rRNA from 1 species
AUUGAACGCUGGCGGCAGGCCUAACACAUGCAAGUCGAGCGGAUGAAGGGAGCUUGCUCCUGGAUUCAGCGGCGGACGGGUGAGUAAUGCCUAGGAAUCUGCCUGGUAGUGGGGGAUAACGUCCGUAAACGGGCGCUAAUUCCGCAUACGUCCUGAGGGAGAAAGUGGGGGAUCUUCGGACCUCACGCUAUCAGAUGAGCCUAGGUCGGAUUAGCUAGUUGGUUGGGUAAAGGCCUACCAAGGCGACGAUCCGUAACUGGUCUGAGAGGAUGAUCAGUCGCACUGGAACUGAGACACGGUCCAGACUCCUACGGGAGGCAGCAGUGGGGAAUAUUGGGCAAUGGGCGAAAGCCUGACCCAGCCAUGCCGCGUGAGUGAAGAAGGUCUUCGGAUUGUAAAGCACUUUAAGUUGGGAGGAAGAGAAGUAAAAGAAUACAUGGCUGUUUUGACGUUACCAACAGAAUAAGCAACGGCUAACUUCGUG